CAAGUACUCUCUUCGUUCGGAAAUACUUAUCAAAGAAAUGGAUGUAUUUAGACGUAUUUUAGUGCUAGAUACAUUCAUUUUAAUCCAUUCUGACAAGUAUUUUCAGAUGGAAGGAGUACAAU
rnacentral:pre_miRNA from 1 species